GUGGACAUAGCUCAGCUGGUUAGAGCACCUGGUUGUGGCCCAGGAGGCCGUGGGUUCGAGUCCCAUUGUCCACCCCA
rnacentral:tRNA from 1 species